GGGGAAGGAACUAGAGGUGAGACAUGCAAGUCGUACAAGGUAGACGUAUAAAAAAGUAAUGAGGAGGAGGGUGAGUAGGGGGGAAUCUGCCUAUUAGUGGGGGACAACGUUUCGAAAGGAACGCUAAUACCGCAUACGUCCUACGGGAGAAAGCAGGGGACCUUCGGGCCUUGCGCUAAUAGAUGAGCCUAGGUCGGAUUAACUAGUUGGUGAGGUAAUGGCUCACCAAGGCUACGAUCCGUAUCUGGUCUGAUAGGAUGAUCAGUCACACUGGAACUGAGACACGGUCCAGACUCCUACGGUAGGCAGCAGUGGG
rnacentral:rRNA from 1 species